UACGAAGGGGGCUAGCGUUGUUCGGAAUUAUUGGGCGUAAAGCGCGCGCAGGCGGCUCUUUAAGUCUGGUGUUUAAUCCCGAGGCUCAACUUCGGGUCGCACUGGAAGCUGGGGAGCUUGAGUGCAGAAGAGGAGAGUGGAAUUCCACGUGUAGCGGUGAAAUGCGUAGAUAUGUGGAGGAACACCAGUGGCGAAGGCGACUCUCUGGGCUGUAACUGACGCUGAGGCGCGAAAGCGUGGGGAGCAAACAGG
rnacentral:rRNA from 1 species